rnacentral:rRNA from 1 species
UGGGGAAUAUUGGACAAUGGGCGGAAGCCUGAUCCAGCCAUGCCGCGUGUGUGAAGAAGGCCUUUUGGUUGUAAAGCACUUUAAGCGAGGAGGAGGCUACUUGGAUUAAUACUCUAGGAUAGUGGACGUUACACGCAGAAUAAGCACCGGCUAACUCUGUGCCAGCAGCCGCGGUAAUACAGAGGGUGCGAGCGUUAAUCGGAUUUACUGGGCGUAAAGCGUGCGUAGGCGGCUUCUUAAGUCGGAUGUGAAAUCCCUGAGCUUAACUUAGGAAUUGCAUUCGAUACUGGGAAGCUAGAGUAUGGGAGAGGAUGGUAGAAUUCCAGGUGUAGCGGUGAAAUGCGUAGAGAUCUGGAGGAAUACCGAUGGCGAAGGCAGCCAUCUGGCCUAAUACUGACGCUGAGGUACGAAAGCAUGGGGAGCAAACAGG